rnacentral:rRNA from 1 species
GACGAACGCUGGCGGCGUGCCUAAUACAUGCAAGUCGAGCGGACUUUCAAGAAGCUUGCUUUUUGAAAGUUAGCGGCGGACGGGUGAGUAACACGUGGGCAACCUGCCUGCAAGACGGGGAUAACUCCGGGAAACCGGGGCUAAUACCGGAUAAUAUCUUCCUUCGCAUGAAGGAAGGUUGAAAGGCGGCGCAAGCUGCCGCUUGCAGAUGGGCCCGCGGCGCAUUAGCUAGUUGGUGAGGUAACGGCUCACCAAGGCGACGAUGCGUAGCCGACCUGAGAGGGUGAUCGGCCACACUGUGACUGAGACACGGCCCAGACUCCUACGGGAGGCAGCAGUAGGGAAUCUUCCGCAAUGGACGAAAGUCUGACGGAGCAACGCCGCGUGAGCGAAGAAGGUCUUCGGAUCGUAAAGCUCUGUUGUCAGGGAAGAACAAGUACCGUUCGAACAGGGCGGUACCUUGACGGUACCUGACCAGAAAGCCACGGCUAACUACGU